AGAGUUUGAUCCUGGCUCAGGAUGAACGCUGGCGGCGUGCUUAACACAUGCAAGUCGAGCGAUGAAGUUUCCUUCGGGAAACGGAUUAGCGGCGGACGGGUGAGUAACACGUGGGUAACCUGCCUCAUAGAGUGGAAUAGCCUUCCGAAAGGAAGAUUAAUACCGCAUAACGUUGAAAGAUGGCAUCAUCAUUCAACCAAAGGAGCAAUCCGCUAUGAGAUGGACCCGCGGCGCAUUAGCUAGUUGGUGGGGUAACGGCCUACCAAGGCGACGAUGCGUAGCCGACCUGAGAGGGUGAUCGGCCACAUUGGGACUGAGACACGGCCCAGACUCCUACGGGAGGCAGCAGUGGGGAAUAUUGCACAAUGGGGGAAACCCUGAUGCAGCAACGCCGCGUGAGUGAUGAAGGUUUUCGGAUCGUAAAGCUCUGUCUUUGGGGAAGAUAAUGACGGUACCCAAGGAGGAAGCCACGGCUAACUACGUGCCAGCAGCCGCGGUAAUACGUAGGUGGCGAGCGUUAUCCGGAUUUACUGGGCGUAAAGGGAGCGUAGGCGGAUGAUUAAGUGGGAUGUGAAAUACCCGGGCUCAACUUGGGUGCUGCAUUCCAAACUGGUUAUCUAGAGUGCAGGAGAGGAGAGUGGAAUUCCUAGUGUAGCGGUGAAAUGCGUAGAGAUUAGGAAGAACACCAGUGGCGAAGGCGACUCUCUGGACUGUAACUGACGCUGAGGCUCGAAAGCGUGGGGAGCAAACAGGAUUAGAUACCCGUAGGGCUACACACGUGCUACAAUGGCUGGUACAGAGAGAUGCAAUACCGCGAGGUGGAGCCAAACUUAAAAACCAGUCUCAGUUCGGAUUGUAGGCUGAAACUCGCCUACAUGAAGCUGGAGUUACUAGUAAUCGCGAAUCAGAAUGUCGCGGUGAAUACGUUCCCGGGUCUUGUACACACCGCCCGUCACACCAUGAGAGUUGGCAAUACCCGAAGUCCGUGAGCUAACCGCAAGGAGGCAGCGGCCGAAGGUAGGGUCAGCGAUUGGGGUGAAGUCGUAACAAGGUAGCCGUAGGAGAACCUGCGGCUGGAUCACCU
rnacentral:rRNA from 1 species